CCGUAGGUGAACUGCGGAAGGAUCAUUAUCGAGAGAGGCGUUCCCCGCCUCGGGGGAAAGGGGGGGGGCUU
rnacentral:rRNA from 1 species